AGUGAACGCUGGCGGUAUGCCUAACACAUGCAAGUCGAACGGCAGCACAGUAAUAGCUUGCUCUUACGGGUGGCGAGUGGCGGACGGGUGAGGAAUACAUCGGAAUCUACUUUUUCGUGGGGGAUAACGUAGGGAAACUUACGCUAAUACCGCAUACGACCUACGGGUGAAAGCAGUGGAUCUUCGGACCUUGCGCGAUUGAAUGAGCCGAUGUCGGAUUAGCUAGUUGGCGGGGUAAAGGCCCACCAAGGCGACGAUCCGUAGCUGGUCUGAGAGGAUGGUCAGCCACACUGGAACGGAGACACGGUCCAGACUCCUACGGGAGGCAGCAGUGGGGAAUAUUGGACAAUGGGCGCAAGCCUGAUCCAGCCAGCCCGCGUGGGUGAAGAAGGCCUUCGGGUUGUAAAGCCCUUUCGUUGGGAAAGAAAAGCAGCAGGUUAAUACCCCGCUGUUCUGACGGUACUCAAAGAAUAAGCACCGGCUAACUUCGUG
rnacentral:rRNA from 1 species